CUGGAAAUUGGGACGCUGGAAGUCAAAUUGGGUCCUUGCAUUGAAUUUAGCUGCAGAUUGGAAGCUUUGUGCUGUAGGGAAUUAAUUGGGCUGAUUUGAAGACUUGGUCCGUGGNUGCUACUGUUGAACUUGGGCUGAAUUCCCACUAAGUGAAACACAACAACUGAGCCCUACAAACGUUGAAAUGGGGUGCUGCAAGUGAAGAUUUUGGUUGCUGCCUUGAGCUAAUUGAUAGCAAAAGGGAAUGUUGCAAACGUGGCUGGACUUGGACUGCGGUUUAAGUGAAACAGUGCGUUUCAGUUGUAGCUUUUUGGGGGUCAUUGUUCCAGCAACUCAUUUGAGGCAAACAAGCUCUUGAGGAAUUCAUUUGGAGAAAGUGUCUUCGAGCUAGGGCAGAGAACGUGAGAGAGACGAAGAAAGCCAAGCAAGUAAGCUGACCGAAGAAGAUGAGGAGCUGACCGGAGUUCAAGUUGAUCGGAGGGCUUGAAGAAGAGAUCGUAGAGGCAGGGAUUGGUGACCAUCCGAUUCAGAGAGCUAAACGUCAAGCUGCGAAGGUUUCUCAUUUUACAGAUUUUUCUUCUCGUUGUUUCAUUUUUUUUUCUAACCCUAUAAAAGGGGUUUUUGUAAAGAAUACAAUAGACGGAGACAUUCAUUGAGACACUUUUUCAUUUUCUGAUUUUUACGUUUUAGAGAGCGACGCGAGAGUCUAGGGUUUUAUCGGUUUCGGUAGAUUCCAGUUCUCGUGUUCUUGUUUGUUCCUCUUUGGUAAAUUCUUGUAUUCUCUGUUAGUUUAAUAAAAAUUUCUGUGAUGUUUCUGUUCGUUUUAUUGUUGUGUUGAAUCUUNUUGUGAAUUGUGUUCUUGAUCAGGGAUGUGUGAAUUUGUUUCGUGUGUUUUGAUUUCAAAACGAUUUUUGACUCUAUAUCUCUGCAAUUUUAUGAUUCUUUUGGAAUCAAAUGUCUCCAUAGUGAGCAUUUUCUUUCGGGAUGUCGUCUCGAUGCAGAGAUGAGUCGAAUAUAUAAAUAUUCAUCUAGAUUUAUGUUUCUUAUCUGUUCUACACUUUUGUUAGUGUUUUGAUUACUUGAUUUUAUUUUUUUUUAGGAAUUACAAUUUUUCUUUAUUUUGUUUCAUCAUCUUUUAUUGAUUUAGACUAUAGGUAUUUUGUAAAUUGAUGAGAUGAAAGAGUGUAAAGUGCUAAAUCAUAUUCUGUAACAGGAACUAAAAUACUCCAUAGUGAGAUUAAAUUUUUAAAGGAUGUCUUCCUGAAAAGCAUUUAACCUUCUUUCAUCCAAAUCAAUAUACAUUUGGUUCUGUCUUAAUUAGUUCUUGUAUUUUUCUCAUUUGCUGAAUUUNUUUUAGAUUAGUUUUAGAUUAGGUUUCAAUUUUUAAUUUCUUACUUACACUUUAAUCUUUUUUCUUUCCUUAAACAGAGUCUGUUUUUAAGUCUUUUAUUUUUCAAUCUUUCAUUUUAAAUAGAUUUUAUUUCUUUACUAAUUUCUCUUUAAAUUUCUUUGUUUAAUUUCCUUUCCCCACCUUGUCUGUUAGUUAGUAGUUAGUUAAUAGUAAAUAGAAUAAAGCAAGAAUUAGCCAAACAUUUUAAACUUAAUUUUUCCGAGUCCUAGGAUUGAUAUUCUGGUCAUCCCUAUACUACAUUAGUGGGGAC
rnacentral:lncRNA from 1 species